GUAAAUGUAAUUUAAUUGGUUAAAAUGAAUACUUGUGGCGCAUUUCUUCUGAGUUCAAGUCUCAGUGUUUACC
rnacentral:tRNA from 1 species